GUGUUAAUGUAAGAACUAAGCAGGUAAAGUAGUUACAGAGUAUUGUUUUCUUCUUCUGUGUUUUCCUUUUUCUAAUAACUUCAGGAUGCAGAGUUGAAGACUGUACAUUCCUGGGUAAGCCUGUGUAAAACGAUGAAGCUCCCAGCUCCAAUAAAAGCAUCUGCUGAGAGCUUCAAUCAGUUCAGGGAUGCAGUAUUAAAGAGGAGUGGGCAAGUGCAGGAGUCCAAAAGGUCUCUUGUGCAAACCGAGAGGGAGCUGCAGAAUCUUCCACAAGAAAACAAAACAUUUGUAACCACUUCUGUGGGCCAUGAAAGCACAGGAUCGGAUGCCAUGGCAGUGACAGACUGUGAGCUUGAAAAAGAAAUACAUGAGAGCAGACUGCCCGAAGCUCAGCAAUGUAUUCUUGAUCAAGACCGUAACUUGGCUAGAAAAAUGGAACAAGAACGCAGAAGGAAGGAAGCAACAUCUUGGAUAAUUGAUGUGAAUCUGCAGAGAGAUAUUAUGGCAUCUUUCGAAGAAUAUCUUGAGUGAAAGCAGUAGUUUAUAUAGAAUUUAACUUCAGACUACUAAAAAGAGCACAGUUUUGUACUAGUUAGAAUGUUAAAUAUUAAAACCACUUUAAAGUUCUUCUCUAAAAUGCUUUGUAUUAAAAAUUGUUCACUAAUACCUGAAGUGUCACAAGAUUUAUUUCUUUUCACUGCUUGUUUAUAACAUGUAAUCUGUUCUGCUGCACAGUGGAAUGAAGUUAUUAAUUUGAUUGCAGUUUCAUUUUUGUGUAUAUCUGUUAAAAUAAAAAAAAAAUCACUUUACUGUGAUUUUAAAAA
rnacentral:lncRNA from 1 species